ACGGGAGGCAGCAGUGAGGAAUAUUGGUCAAUGGGCGGAAGCCUGAACCAGCCAAGUCGCGUGAAGGAUGAAGGUAUUAUGUAUUGUAAACUUCUUUAGACGUAGAGAAAUAAGGCGCUCGAGAGCGCUGAUGCUAGUAUACGUAGAAUAAGGAUCGGCUAACUCCGUGCCAGCAGCCGCGGUAAUACGGAGGAUCCGAGCGUUAUCCGGAUUUAUUGGGUUUAAAGGGAGCGUAGGCGGAUUAUCAAGUCAGUGGUAAAAUCGUGUGGCCCAACCAUACCUCGCCAUUGAAACUGUUAGUCUUGAGUGCACGCAGGGAUGCUGGAAUUCGUUGUGUAGCGGUGAAAUGCUUAGAUAUGACGAAGAACUCCGAUCGCGAAGGCAGGUGUCUGGAGUGCAACUGACGCUGAGGCUCGAAAGUGCGGGUAUCAAACAGGAUUAGAUACCCUGGUA
rnacentral:rRNA from 1 species